rnacentral:rRNA from 1 species
GAGUUUGAUCAUGGCUCAGAUUGAACGCUGGCGGCAUGCCUUACACAUGCAAGUCGAACGGCAGCACGGGAGCUUGCUCCUGGUGGCGAGUGGCGAACGGGUGAGUAAUGCAUCGGAACGUAUCCUGGAGUGGGGGAUAACGUAGCGAAAGUUACGCUAAUACCGCAUAUUCUGUGAGCAGGAAAGCGGGGGACCUUCGGGCCUCGCGCUCUUGGAGCGGCCGAUGUCGGAUUAGCUAGUUGGUGAGGUAAAGGCUCACCAAGGCGACGAUCCGUAGCAGGUCUGAGAGGAUGAUCUGCCACACUGGAACUGAGACACGGUCCAGACUCCUACGGGAGGCAGCAGUGGGGAAUUUUGGACAAUGGGGGCAACCCUGAUCCGGCCAUGCCGCGUGAGUGAAGAAGGCCUCGG